UCGGGAAUAUUGCGCAAUGGAGGAAACUCUGACGCAGUGACGCCGCGUAUAGGAAGAAGGUCUUCGGAUUGUAAACUAUUGUCGUUAGGGAAGAGAAAGGACAGUACCUAAGGAGGAAGCUCCGGCUAACUACGUGCCAGCAGCCGCGGUAAUACGUAGGGAGCGAGCGUUGUCCGGAUUUAUUGGGUGUAAAGGGUGCGUAGACGGGAAAAUAAGUUAGUUGUGAAAUCCCUCGGCUUAACUGAGGAACUGCAACUAAAACUAUUUUUCUUGAGUGCAGGAGAGGAAAGUGGAAUUCCUAGUGUAGCGGUGAAAUGCGUAGAUAUUAGGAGGAACACCAGUGGCGAAGGCGACUUUCUGGACUGUAACUGACGUUGAGGCACGAAAGUGUGGGGAGCAAACAGGAUUAGAUACC
rnacentral:rRNA from 1 species